rnacentral:rRNA from 1 species
GACGAACGCUGGCGGCGUGCUUAACACAUGCAAGUCGAACGGAAAGGCCUCUUUCGGGGGGUACUCGAGUGGCGAACGGGUGAGUAGCACGUGAGUAACCUGCCCUUGACUUUGGGAUAACUUCAGGAAACUGGGGCUAAUACCGGAUAGGAGCUCCUGCUGCAUGGUGGGGGUUGGAAAGUUUCGGCGGUUGGGGAUGGACUCGCGGCUUAUCAGCUUGUUGGUGGGGUAGUGGCUUACCAAGGCUUUGACGGGUAGCCGGCCUGAGAGGGUGACCGGCAAAAGUGGGAAAGAGAAAGGGCCAGGAAUCCGCGGGGGGGAGGAGGGGGGGAAUAGUGCACAAGGGGUGGGGGCCUGAUACGGCAACGCCGGGGGCGGGGUGACGGCCUGGGGGUUGAAAACCGCUUUCGCGCGGGAAAAAGCUUGGGGGGAGGGUAGUGGGUAAAAAAGCACCGGCAAACUACGGG